CAUUAGCCAAGAUGUGAUCUUUUAUCCUCAGCCAGAGGAACCUCUUAGUCAUCUCAGAUCGGCGUCCUAGGUGUUGCCAAUGAAUGUUAGCGCUGCCACGAGAGUGACGUCUUCAACCUCUUUUCACCAGGAUAUACUGCAGACUCCAACAAUUAAAUCAGUAAAAUCUAUCCCAUUUUAGUGUAUGUUUUAAGCAUCAUGUGUGGAAUAGAAAACCUGAUAUAGUCUCUUUGCCUCCUUUUUAUUGGUACCGGGGUCCUUGUGCUUGUGCAGCAGGUGGUGAAACCACUGAGCUAAAUUCCCAGCCCUUUGCCUCCUAAUUUUAUAGUCUACUGAGUGAGAGUGCACAGAUGCCUAAUUUCUGUGAACUUAUCUGGCCUAUAAAGGCUCUUUUGUGCCUUAACCAGGUCUAUACUGGCCCUUUCACCUGUGCCUUUGUACCAUGUUUGUGACUUUAAGAAAAUUAUUUAACCUCUAACUCUGUUUGCUUUUAAUGUAAAAUGGGAAUGUUUAUAGUAUUCCAAUGGUUAAUGUUAUGUCUUAAUGACUGAAGCAUGGGAAGCCUGGACAGCUGGUUUAGAAUGCUGUCUGAGCGUGCCUAGGAGGGUGUUUCUGGAAAAGAUGAGCAUUUGAAUCAAUAGACUGAGUAAAGCAGAUGUCCUUGCUAUGUGUGGGGGCCUCCUCUAGUUCAGAAAGGCCUGAAUAGAACAAAAAGGUAGAGAAAGGAUGAAUUCACUCUCUGCCUGCCUGUCUGAGCUGGGAUGUUAAUCUUGCUCUGGUUUGGGCCCUCCUGGUUCUCAGGUCUUCAGACCUGGGCUGGAGUCUACACCAUGGGCUCUCUGCCUCAUGGGUUUUCUAUUACACCACUGAUUUUUCCAGAGCUCCAGCUUGAAGACUUCAGACUGUGGGAUUUCUCAUUCUCCAGAACUACUGGAACCAGUAUCUCAUAAUAAAUUUCUUUUUGUGUAUAUAUCAGUUGUAUAUGUUCUGCUUCUCUGGAUAACUUUAAGCACCUACAAGGUAAGUAUCAGCAUUGUAUUAAUUUACUUAUUGUUGCUGUAAAAAUUUCUACAAACUUGGUUGCUUAAAACAACAUGCAUUUAUCUUUUUUUAGGGUAGAGGUCUGUCAUGGUUCUCGCUUGGCUGAUAUCAAGGGUGAGUGUUGUCAAUUUUGCUGAAAUCCAUGUCCUCAGACCCCAGCAGCACUUAGCAUGAGAAGAUACAUGCUCCAUGAGUGAAAAUGUCAAGAAUAAACACAAGAAUGUAUGCUGCCUAGUGAGAACUAAAAUAUGUUAAAGAUGCUAAAAAUUUGUGGGUGAAAUAAAGACAUUCUUGGAUACAUUAAAUCUAAACUAAUUUGUUGCCAACAAGUCUGUGAUAUGAAAAAUGAUGUUAUGAAGGGCUUUUGGAAGCUGAUUGGAUCAUGAGCACUCUAACUUCAUCAUGGAUCGAUCCACUGAUGAAUUCAUAAUUGACGGCAGUAUUGAGAGAUGAUGGAAGUUCAGGCGGUGAGAACCUCAUUGGAGGGAGUGGAUCACAGGGAUAUGGACUUGGGGACUGCAUCUU
ensembl:lncRNA